UCCACCACCUUCUAAAAAUACUUUCUCUUGAGUCUCUAAACAUGACCAUAUGUGGUUUAAAAUGUAUCAAGUUAGUGUCAUGUUGUUUUAUUUUUAUCUUUUCAUCAAUUUUUUCGUUAAUAUUUCGUUACAUUAUAUAUAAAAAAAUUUCAGAUGCCCCAUCUAAGUUUAUCGAAUAUUCACUUUAGUGCCCUUUAGUUUUAACUUUGUCACUAAUUUAACGUAAAAAAUUAGUGGAAUAGAAAAUAAAAAAAUAAAAAUAAAAUCACGGGAUACUAAAUUGAUACACUUUAAACCAUAGGGUAUUAAAGUAAGAAAGUGUGAAACUAUAUGGGUGGUAUUUGAAGUUUUUUCAAAAAAAAUUUCAGUGGGUAGUUGUUUCUGAACCACGCUUUAUUGAGGAACCUCCAAUUCGCUGUUAUGUGUCAGUUUUAUUUUCUAUUUAAGAAUUAUAAUUUUUCUUUUCACUAAGAUACAAACUUUCAUUUAAAUUUUCGCAUUAAAAAAGUACCUAACAAAUUUUUGAACGGAGACAAAACUAACACAUGACACCGGAGUUGUUGGGUUAAUUGCACCACUAGCCCUGAAGUUUUGCCAAAGUUUCAUUUCAGUCCUAUUCUAUGAAAGGAAGCUUAGUUUUUGUGUCAAUUUGGCCUAUUUCAUCAUCUGAUGUGAAGCUUAUGGAUAGUAAUUCAAUAUUUUCUGACAAAAAAUUUGACAUCAAAAAUUUCUUUCCACCUGAAAAGAGUAUUUGGUGUUGCAAUGGGCUUUUAUUCUAGAAAAGAUCAGUAAAAAUCAACAUAAGAUAACAAAAUGGACCAAUUUUGGUAUAUUUGUAAAAAGUUUAGAAUGCUUUAAAAGUUCAAUUUUGAUAAAAAUUUUGCGGCUACAAAUACAAUUUAACCCUUUUUUUUGCCAAAUUGAAAGGAGACCCCUCAACUAAAGAUUAUUUUAAAAUCAAUCCUUGUACAAUUUUUACUACCCUUUUUCAAGUCCUAGAAGUUUUCAAGGAGUGCUUUGGGAAGUCGUAAUUUAGUAGAGCCUUUUUUCUCUGGUGUAGUGUGCAAUUCUAUUUUUAUAUUCCAAAAUCAUUCCCAAAUUUUUAGAUGUAUUAAGGAACCCACAAUUUCUUUUUUCUUUUAGAUAGAGUUACAUAUAUACCCCUCCGAAAUUAUUUAUUUGCCAAUGGUGAGUUGUAAAUUUUGUAAUUUCAUGCCAACCCUUCAGAAACUCGCUUAUUACAUUUAUCGCCUUGGAAAGCUUAAUUUUCAUAUAGGUAAACUUGAAAUUGAUAGCUGAUCUUUUGUUUUCUUUUCUUUUGUUUUUGUUUUUUUUUUAGAUUGAGACCCCCUCAACUUUUCAAUUUUGGAAUUAACUAAUUUUAGUUUGAAAAAUUGGAAAUUCACUCAAAUUCGUUGGUGAUUUCAUAAAAAAUUUAAUAGCUUUAGUUAUAUUUUAUUAAGAAUAGUUAGACUAAUUAAUAAUUGAUAACUUAUGGAGAGCCGUUAAAUUUGAUAAAUUUUUUAGGUAUAAAGGCUCAAAUAAAGAAUGUUGAGGAUCGCGUCGUCUUUACACGAGUUUAGAUUAAGAUUAAGAUUCUAAUUUUCUUUCAACUUUUCACCUCACCCAGUUAUAGAGUUGACAAUCUAACUUAUUGUUUACAAGUCAAUUUAUGUUCGACUCGUUAAUAAACAAACUAAACACAGACUAAAUUUUUCAGCUCGAUAUUUUAACGAGCCAGCUCGUGCUUGGCACGUUUAACAAACGAGUGAACACGAGCCGGCCUCAGAUCGCUGGUUCGGCUAGUUGACAACCCUAGUCAAAUUGGUAAAAGUGAGAAUACAUAGGUUCAUCCUAAUAAAAGAAGCAUCAUUUGUACACAAUCAUACCCCUGAUANCAUUGCAUAUCUGCACUUGCUGCUAGUACCUGUUCUCAGCUUUGGAUUCCAAGAAGUGGACCAAAAACAUGAGCCAAAGCAAUUGAAAGAAGCCUUAGUAAAGUGUUAGUAUUAUUUCUUGGGAACUGGGUUCAAUUGUUCCACCACCUUCUAAAAAUACUUUCUCUUGAGUCUCUAAACAUGACUGUCUGUGGUUUAAAAUGUAUCAAAUUAGUGUCCUGUGGUUUUAUUUUUAUCUUUUCAUCAAUUUUUUCGUUAAUAUUUCGUUAUAUUAUAUAUAAAAAAACUUCAGAUGCCCCAUCUACGUUUAUCGAAUAUUCACUUUAGCGCCAUUUAGUUUUAACUUUGUCACUAAUUUAACGUAAAAAAUUUGUGGAAUAGAAAAUAAAAAGAUAAAAAUAAAACCACGGGGCACUAAAUUGAUACACUUUAAACCACAGGGUACUAAAGUAAGAAAAUGUAAAACUACAGGAGUGGUAUUUGAAGUUUUUUCAAAAAAAAUUUCAGUGGGCAGUUGUUUCUGAACCACGCUUUAUGGAGGAACCUCCGAUCCGCUGUUAUGUGUCAGUUUUAUUUUCUAUUUAAGAAUUAUAAUUUUACUUUUCUCUAAUAUACAAACUUUCAUUUAAAUUUUCGCAUUAAAAAAGUACCUAACAAAUUUUUGAACGGAGACAAAACUAACACG
rnacentral:lncRNA from 1 species